AGCGCACGUAGGCGGAUCUGUAAGUCAGUGGUGAAAUCUCAUAGCUUAACUAUGAAACUGCCAUUGAUACUGCAGGUCUUGAGUAAGGUAGAAGUGGCUGGAAUAAGUAGUGUAGCGGUGAAAUGCAUAGAUAUUACUUAGAACACCAAUUGCGAAGGCAGGUCACUAUGUCUUAACUGACGCUGAUGGACGAAAGCGUGGGGAGCGAACAGG
rnacentral:rRNA from 1 species